CCUACGGGGGCUGCAGUGGGGAAUAUUGGACAAUGGGCGAAAGCCUGAUCCAGCCAUGCCGCGUGUGUGAAGAAGGCCUUCGGGUUGUAAAGCACUUUCAGUGGGGAAGAAAGCCUUGGGGCUAAUACCCUCGAGGAAGGACAUCACCCACAGAAGAAGCACCGGCUAACUCCGUGCCAGCAGCCGCGGUAAUACGGAGGGUGCGAGCGUUAAUCGGAAUUACUGGGCGUAAAGCGCGCGUAGGCGGUCUGAUAAGCCGGUUGUGAAAGCCCCGGGCUCAACCUGGGAACGGCAUCCGGAACUGUCAGGCUAGAGUGCAGGAGAGGAAGGUAGAAUUCCCGGUGUAGCAGUGAAAUGCGUAGAGAUCGGGAGGAAUACCAGUGGCGAAGGCGGCCUUCUGGACUGACACUGACGCUGAGGUGCGAAAGCGUGGGUAGCAAACAGGAUUAGAUACCCUAGUAGUC
rnacentral:rRNA from 1 species